rnacentral:rRNA from 1 species
GGGCCCGCACAAGCAGUGGAGCAUGUGGUUUAAUUCGAUGCAACGCGAAGAACCUUACCUGGGCUCUAAUGCGAGUGACCGCUCCUGAAAGGGAGCUUUCCUUCGGGACACGAAGCAAGGUGCUGCAUGGUUGUCGUCAGCUCGUGCCGUGAGGUGUUGGGUUAAGUCCCGCAACGAGCGCAACCCCUAUCUUUAGUUGCCAGCGAUUCGGUCGGGGACUCUAGAGAGACUGCCUGCGCAAGCAGAGAGGAAGGCGGGGACGACGUCAAAUCAUCAUGGCCUUUAUGCCCAGGGCUACACACGUGCUACAAUGGUAAGGACAAAGGGCAGCGAGCCGGCGACGGUCAGCGAA